GACGUAGGGUGCGAGCGUUGCCCGGAUUUAUUGGGCGUAAAGGGCGCGUAGGCGGCCACGCACGUCCGUUGUGAAAUCGCUCGGCUCAACUGGGCGGGGUCAGCGGAUACGGAGUGGCUGGAGCAAGCUAGGGGGCAAUGGAAUUCCCGGUGUAGUGGUGGAAUGCGUAGAUAUCGGGAGGAACACCAGUGGCGAAGGCGGUUGCCUGGAGCUUUGCUGACGCUGAUGCGCGAAAGCGUGGGGAGCGAUCCGG
rnacentral:rRNA from 1 species